GAACGCUAGCGACAGGCUUAACACAUGCAAGUCGAGGGCAGCACAGGUAGCAAUACCGGGUGGCGACCGGCGCACGGGUGAGUAACGCGUAUGCAACUUGCCUAUCAGAGGGGGAUAACCCGGCGAAAGUCGGACUAAUACCGCAUGAAGCAGGGAUCCCGCAUGGGAAUAUUUGCUAAAGAUUCAUCGCUGAUAGAUAGGCAUGCGUUCCAUUAGGCAGUUGGCGGGGUAACGGCCCACCAAACCGACGAUGGAUAGGGGUUCUGAGAGGAAGGUCCCCCACAUUGGUACUGAGACACGGACCAAACUCCUACGGGAGGCAGCAGUGAGGAAUAUUGGUCAAUGGCCGAGAGGCUGAACCAGCCAAGUCGCGUGAGGGAUGAAGGUUCUAUGGAUCGUAAACCUCUUUUAUAAGGGAAUAAAGUGCGGGACGUGUCCCGUUUUGUAUGUACCUUAUGAAUAAGGAUCGGCUAACUCCGUGCCAGCAGCCGCGGUAAUACGGAGGAUCCGAGCGUUAUCCGGAUUUAUUGGGUUUAAAGGGUGCGUAGGCGGCCUUUUAAGUCAGCGGUGAAAGUCUGUGGCUCAACCAUAGAAUUGCCGUUGAAACUGGGGGGCUUGAGUAUGUUUGAGGCAGGCGGAAUGCGUGGUGUAGCGGUGAAAUGCAUAGAUAUCACGCAGAACCCCGAUUGCGAAGGCAGCCUGCCAAGCCAUGACUGACGCUGAUGCACGAAAGCGUGGGGAUCAAACAGGAUUAGAUACCCUGGUAGUCCACGCAGUAAACGAUGAUCACUAGCUGUUUGCGAUACACUGUAAGCGGCACAGCGAAAGCGUUAAGUGAUCCACCUGGGGAGUACGCCGGCAACGGUGAAACUCAAAGGAAUUGACGGGGGCCCGCACAAGCGGAGGAACAUGUGGUUUAAUUCGAUGAUACGCGAGGAACCUUACCCGGGUUUGAACGCAUUCGGACCGAGGUGGAAACACCUUUUCUAGCAAUAGCCGUUUGCGAGGUGCUGCAUGGUUGUCGUCAGCUCGUGCCGUGAGGUGUCGGCUUAAGUGCCAUAACGAGCGCAACCCUUGCCACUAGUUACUAACAGGUAAAGCUGAGGACUCUGGUGGGACUGCCAGCGUAAGCUGCGAGGAAGGCGGGGAUGACGUCAAAUCAGCACGGCCCUUACAUCCGGGGCGACACACGUGUUACAAUGGCGUGGACAAAGGGAAGCCACCUGGCGACAGGGAGCGAAUCCCCAAACCACGUCUCAGUUCGGAUCGGAGUCUGCAACCCGACUCCGUGAAGCUGGAUUCGCUAGUAAUCGCGCAUCAGCCAUGGCGCGGUGAAUACGUUCCCGGGCCUUGUUCACACCGCCCGUCAAGCCAUGGGAGCCGGGGGUACCUGAAGUCCGUAACCGCGAGGAUCGGCCUAGGGUAAAACUGGUGACUGGGG
rnacentral:rRNA from 1 species